rnacentral:rRNA from 1 species
UACGUAGGCAGCAAGCGUUGUUCGGAGUUACUGGGCGUAAAGGGUGUGUAGGCGGUUCCUUAAGUUUGCUGUGAAAUCUCCCGGCUUAACCGGGAGGGUGCGGUGAAUACUGAAUGACUUGGAGUGCGGGAGAGGUGAGUGGAAUUCCUGGUGUAGCGGUGAAAUGCGUAGAUAUCAGGAGGAACACCGGUGGUGUAGACGGCUCACUGGACCGUAACUGACGCUGAGACACGAAAGCGUGGGUAGCAAACAGG